UGAGACCGGGUGUGGCUCGUAAGGGUGAAAGGUACAGGGUUGAGUUGGCAGUGGACGUUGCUUUCUGACAGACUGGCAGCGAUUUGAUUCUACAUUGUGGGGAAAAGGGAACGUCAUUGGCCGACUAUUUGUUACUCUGAAGCGCUCUGUUCUUUCAGUUUAUCGUGAGCUUUCUCUUCCAAGUUAGAAGAAACAUGCUGCUCUGUUGUUUUCUCAGGUCCUGGUAUAACCUGCCUGACAACUCCAACUCCUUUAUAACAAUAAACCUCUUUAGACUGA